AGAUAUGAUAAAAGAGAGCUUGAAAUAUUUAUUGAGAUUUAAUUUCCAAACUAAAAGGAAAAAAAAACACUCAUCCACACAUGCCUUUUAUUAUAUUCUUUGAGUCCCCUUAGAUUUCCCUUCACAUAACAACAUCAAAAUCACAUAAUCUAACUCCUCCCAUUCAAGCAUUUCCUCUCACACACAAACACAUACAAAGUGAAAGUAAAUUAACACAUCAAAUUAAAUCACUCUCUCGAUCAUCACAAUAUUAUUCUACCACACAUCAUUCAUGAUCAGAGGCUAAUCACAAUGAUUCUACUUUUUCAGUCUCGAACUUAUAGUCAUAAGUUGUAACACCUGUGAAAAGUCCAUCUUCCAAACGAUGUGUCACUUGUCUCCCAUCUUUCAAAGUGUCCCUUCGAGUAUACGAAAAAGGAACAUCACAAUAAGCUUGUGUUACCAUUGCACUAAACUUCACCUUCGACAUUGCCGGUAUCGUUAUUGUCUCUCCCGUCUCCACAAAUGAUUUUUCCUUCUCUGUUUCUUCCCUUGUGUUUUCACUUGAAACCUCCAACGAAAGCUCGAACUUCAGACUCCCAACCGUCGGAAUCUUUGUCUUAAACUUAGUAGCAAUUCCGAAAGUAGACGACACAGAUGAACUCCAUGUUCUUUCCACCUUCUUCUCAUACCUAAACUUCAAACUUAUUUUAUCAUUAACUUUAGUAUUGUUAAUAGCAACUCCUUUGGACACAGUGAGUAUUUUCUUCCCAUAAACCCUUGCAUCAUUAACACGAUACUCCACAUCUUCUACGCUUCUUGCAACAACAAUCUCCGUUGCUUCCAAACGUGCAGUCUCCGUUAUUGUUCCGACCGCAGCAUUAAGGCAAUUCGUCUUCCCAUCUGUUGUCAAUCUUUUGCAAAAACGGUUGUUGCCUUUGUUACGAAAAGCCACGAUAUUGUUAUCCACUUUUACAGGCCAAAACAAAGUGUUGGGGUUGUCUCUGUUGAUGUCAAUUGAAUCACACCAUAUCCAAUCCGGAUCUCGAAUCCAAUACUUACCUGAACUCACAUGUUUUAUACGAACGUAACCAUCUUGCAUGGAUAUUAUCUCGAACACAACGGCUGGAUCUUCUACGCUAGAAGCUGAGAAUUUGAGGUAUUUUCCAGAUGGUUCGAGAUAUCGAUCGUUGUUGCUUUUGAAAGCUACGUAUUUUGGUAGUAUAAAUAUGGAGUCCCAAUCCGUCACGGCCAAGAGGACAAGAUUCUCGUCAAUGGUUGUUAUGUCUUCCACUCUUGCAACUAAACAAUCGUUGUAAGGUGAAGGAUCUCCUUCAGCCAUGCACAGGAAGGUGUUGAGUUGAACAUGACGGAUGUAGUAGAGCCCGGUUUUCUCCGGUACAAAAAUUGGUUCGAACAAAGUGCACGACCAUUUCGAUGUAUCAUCUUCUUCUUCAUUGGCUACGGCUGCAAUGUAGUUCGAGUCUUCGGAUAAACGAACCCAGAAUUUGUUGUUGUAACAACAUCUUAUAUGGAAGAAACCUGGCUUGGUUUUCGAUGCAUGAACGGAGAAUUUUGAAUAUGGUCCGACGAUGUUCUUGCCGGAGAAUCGAAGAAGUCCGUCUGCGUUUUCACUUUCGCUUAUGUAGCGAAGAUAUUUGCCAUUGCGGAUAGAUUUGAGGGAGAGAUUCUUCGGGAUUACCUUUGUUAAUUCUUCAUUUUCUUCUUCUUCUUCGUAGUUUGAAUCAUCGAUAUCACUCUUCAUCAACUUCUUCUCUGCUUCAUCUAUGUCAUCAUCGUCUUCGUCAUCUUGUCCGGCUAUUGAAUCGUCAACAUCCUCUUUGUAAUCUUCUUCACGUCGGUCCAAUUCAGCUUCAUACUGUUUCAUUAAAUCGUCAUAGUUUUCACUUUGUUUAGGACCUUCUUCCGGCUUAUUUUCCUCCUUUUCAAAUACUCUUUCACCAAAAUCCUCAGUCGCCUCACCAACAUUUUCGAUCGCCUUCCCAGUGCCCUCCACGACAGUUCCGACACUACCAACGACCGGCGCCUUCUCAACCACAUCCCCCACGGUUUCAACAAUCUUUCCUGCUCCUUUCACAGCUCCUCCCAAAAUGUCAGUCCCAGCUUUCCCCAGUCCUUUGAAAAGAUUCAUCUUUUUUUUUCUCCUUUCUUUCUUUUCUUCUUUUCUAAUGUUUGUGGUGCAAUUGGAACUCCAUUGAAGAAGAUAUUUAUAGUAGUUUCAACUCACUUUGUUUACAUAAAGUAUUAUUAGAUGUGUAAUUUGUCCUUUCUUCGAGAUAUUUUUUAAGAACACAGGAAGAUAAAGUGUGGGGACAAUUAAUAAUACACUCCAAUUAUUUACUCUCAACUCAUCGCGAUCAAACAUGUACAUAAACCUUAGGACCAUAAUGGUGGAUUUUGGUGCAUCUCUCAUCCUAUACGUCCAUUGGUAAAAUUGAAAAACGAUAACACAGCACAUAUGGCUAUACUUCAAUCGUUGUAGAUUUCGAGAUAAAUAAAUAAACAAGAUAUAAUGUUAGUUCAAAUGACGUACAAGUGAAAAUACUUCAAAUAAAAUUGGCACGAACUCCAUCUUGUUCAAUAAAAUCUGCCACAUCAAUCAAAUAAACAAAAAAAGGCUCGAACACGGUUGCCAUCUUCCUAUGGUCCAUUUGGCUUGAGAGAAAUAAUAGAAUUUUCAGCAACAAAGCCAGAAAACAGAGAUUGAAUUAUGGGAAUUAGACAUUAAAUCUCUCACGGGACUAUGGAGUAGUAGAGCUAGACAUUUCUCUGACUAAAGAACUUCAAGGUACUUUCUUUUUUAAAAAAAUAUAGUGAGCUUCGUUGCGUUGGUGAUUUUCGUCCUGAGAUCAGAUGGUUGUGAGAGACCCACGUCUUCACAAUCAAGGCUAUUUUCAUCAUCGCUGGCUCUCAUAUUUUUCUUUGCACCAGCCAGGAAUCGAACCCGGCUAAACUUUUCUUUGCAUCAUCGCUGGCUCUAAUAUUUUUCUUUGCACCAGCCACAUCUUGAUUCCAAUAUAUACCGUUGUUUCACAGUCAUUCAUGUUGAUACUGAUUGAUGGUUUUCAUACGAAUAUUGAUAUUGGUUUAUCAUUUUACGUCUAAGUGAGAGAAAGCUUAUAGAAAAAGAGGGAUGAGGUUCCAUGUAAAUAAUCCAUGGUAAUCAAACUGAUCGCCCCUAUAGGCCAGAAUGAGAUUGAGCAUCAUUUGAAUGUCGUUAUCAAUAUCUCGUUUUACGUUUACAAGUACCUAAACUUGGUCUUAAGAUGUACUAUAGGUCUAUGAUUAGAAAAUUGAAAGUACAAAUACCAAAAUAAAAUAGAACUCGAAGUAUACAAACCAAUAUGGUAUUUUUCUAAGAAAAGAAUUACUUAGUUAAAAGCUCCAACAUGCUAUCAUUUUAGUUGAAUUGAUGAUAAUCCUCUGCCAAAACAAACAAAUAAUGCACAGCCUAAUUUGGAGAUUCCUAGCAAAAUUGCAUCAAGUUUGAGUGAAUGUAUGUUAACAAAUAGUUCAGUAGUAGGUCAGUUUGAUUCCUUGAGCUGAAUAAUGGAUUCAAAAAAGAACUUUCCAUCUGGUUCAGAUUGGUCUUCAAGAUCCUCAUAGCUUUGAUCUAUUCUCAAGUCUUUACGCACUUUUAGGGCUUCCUGAUACAAUGGUAAAAAUUCCAGGAAAGCAAAGAAGAACACUAAGAUAUAUGGAAUGCGCCAACAUGCUGAAAUAAUGUUAUUUCCAAUCUAUUUGUACCAAAAGAAUUCUUUCAGCGCGUCAUGCCAUCGAAAUCAGAACAUGAAAAUGUAAAUUAUAUAUUCACCUGUUCCACAUAUGCAGCAACAGUAAAGUUGAUAACUUCCUUAAUAACUUGUUUGUACACCUUAGAAGGUCCCAAGUAUCUCUAAUAGAAUGUCUCGGGGUAUCUGUUGAGAACAAAUGAUGAACUUAUCAGUAACUUCUCAUGUCUUCCCAAGUAAAGAAAACUUACGUUUGGGGUCUUUCCUGACAUCCAAUGAAGAGCAGCAUGUUUCAAGUCCAAUGAAAUGAAUUGAGGAAAAGAAAAAAGAAAAUUAAGCAAAUUGGUUUUCUGAUUCUUUCCUGACAUCCAAUGAGCAUAACUACUUGAAUUCCACAAAGCUUAAGAAGUGGAUACCACAUUUUCUUAUUCCUAUGGAUCGUUUUCGUAAAUGAUUACUAAGUUAAAAGCUCUAGCAUGCUAUAAUUCAAGUUGAAUUGAUGAUAGCUCUCAGCCAAAACAAUGAAAUAAUGGACAAGCUAAUUGGGAGAUUAUUCCCCAGCAAAAUUGCAUCAAGUUUGAGUGAAUGUAUAUGUUACAGAUAAUUCAAUGGUUUAGUUUGAUUCCUUGACCUGAAUAAUGCGUUAGAAAUUAAAUAAGCUAGAUACAUCAUCCAUAACACAUUAAUAGAUACAUUUCUAAUAUCAAGAUAUAUAUGCAUUUUUAGAUACAUGUACUUCAUUUAUUUUGGGUCUUUUAGGAAGUGGUUGAGUACUAUAUAUAGAGAUCAUUUCCUUCGCUUGUAUGCAAUAAAAAGGAAUUAAAUCAACAGAAGCAAAUUAAAGUUUAGAAAGGAAGUGAGUUUCAAGAUAACAAUAUUCUUCCCUUGUGUGUUAUUAAGUUUUCUAAGAAAACAAUUUUAUUUUUUUGAAAGUUCGUGUAAAUUUAGAGUGGACUCGUCAAUGCUUCCAAUGUAAUGACACAAGAAAAAAGAAGUUUUAUCUUCUUCAAAUUCGUGUUCAAGAUCCUCAUGUAUAGCUUUGCUUCCCAUUUUUGGAUCUUCCUGCUACAAAGGUAAAACUUUCCAGAAAAACACAUUACGAAAUGGAGGAAUGUGCCACAACAUGCUGAAAUGUAAUUUUCUAUUCUAUUUGUACCAACAUAAAACUUUCAAAAUAUCCCACUGUCCCAAUUUUAUGGUAUGUUAGAAAGUGAUUCGAAAAUGGUUAUGAUCACUUUUGCCAAAUUUUAAAUCACUCUAAUACAUGCCCUUCAAGAAUGGAUGGAAACCAGUUUUGUUUACGAAAUAAUGAAAAUUGAAUUUAGGAGUGUAAAAUUAAAUACUAAUUUAAUUUUUAGCGAUUUUAGGUAUGUUUUGAGGUGAUUUUAAAUGUGAAAAACGUGAUUUGCUUAAUUAGAUGAGGUGUAUUUUCAAAAGGGUAAAUGUGAUUUACUCUCCUUGUAAGAUAGAUGAAAUUCUUCUCUCAUUGUCAAUUACUUAUGAGAUAGAACAAAUACUAUAUCGAAUAUGGUAUCAAAUCCCGUCCAAUGGAGUCCAUUACUCCUUCCAGUACAUGAUCUCUUGUUCUGUGUUACUCUUUGCAUUGCUUAUCUUUCGAUUUCAUAAGUUAAAAUGACGAAGAAGAUAGAAAUCUAUCGCUAAUAGACCAUAAAAUUCUAUCACCGACAAUGAUAGAUUUUGUUAUAUUUGCAUUUUUUUAAAAUGUUUAUAUACUUAAUUAUUAUUCUUAGAAUUGACAUUAAUUAUAAUUAUCCUCUAAUCAAAUUAUUUUAUUUUGGAAUAAUAAGAGAUAUAGUAACUUUUGUAAGGGUCAUAUUCAAAAAUGACAAAACUACUUUUUCUUUUGAAUUUUAGCAAAUAGCAUUUUCUUCACGUGCAUAAUAUUUUAUAAAAUAUCAAAAUAUUUCCCUUCUCAACUGUAAUUACUUUGUUUCUACAUUGUAAUUAAUUUAGGUUAUGCAAUUAUCAGUCUUUAAUUAUUUUUGACCGAAAAAACAUAUAGCAACUCAUGUCAUAACUUUUUUCUUAAUAUCUCGAUACUCAACUAAUUGAUUCAAGCUUUUAUAACUUUAUUCAAUCUUACUCAUGUCAAAAUAACCAAAUUGAAUUUAAAUUUUAAAAUAAUCAAUUGAACUUCAAAAUAACAAAAUUAUUAUUUUUCAAAAUUUGAGAAUUUCAACGAUAGAUUGUAUCAAAAUUAAUAGCCUUAAUUGAAUUUCAAAAUUAAAAAAUGUCUACUUGUUUGCUAUCUUAUAUAAAAAAUAACAUUAAUGACAUGAAUAUCUAGAUAAUCAAAUUAUUAUUUUGAAAUUGGAAGAAUCUCAACAUUAAUUUUAUUUUAAAAUAACCAAAUUAUUAAUUUUCGAAUGAGAGAAUUUCAACUAAUAAUUUUAAAAGGAAAUUUCAACUCAACCCAAUUAUUAUUUUGAAGUUGGGAGAAUUUCAACCAUUGAUUUUAUUUCAAAAUAAGUUUUUAAUAUCAAAAGGUUGAAUCACACAAAAUAACUCAAUUAUGAAUUAAAAAAUUUCUUAUGCGCUUUUGUUUGCCAAAUGUUUCUUAUUAAAUUUUAAUUAAUUUAUUCUAAAAAUAUAGCAAUGUAUAUAUAUAAUUAGUUCAAUACCAUUAAUUCAUACAACCGUGUAAAUGAAUUAAAAUUAAAAUAUAAUUACAUUAUUUGUGUUUAGAAAGACUUUUAAAUCAUUCAUUUAACUUAAUAACAUUAAUUAAAUUAUAAUUUCUAUCGAUAUUGGUUUAAAGUGUAAGUAAUGUAAUUAUUUCAAUAUAUUGCAUUCUUAUCAAAAGUUUUUUACGUGUAAUUAAUUUGUGAUAUAAAACUAUGAGUUUAUCAAAAGUUUUUUCAAUAUAAUUAACUUGUGAUGUAAUUAAUUUCAACUCGUUAAUAGCUAAGAGAAUCCUAUCGUAACAUAUUUCUAAUAUCUCACGAUUUAAAAGACAUCAACAACUUUAAUCAUUUUUUUACUUCGUAGUUGAAGAUUUUAACAAUUUUAUUUUUUUAUUUUAAAAUAAUCAUAUUAUUAAUUUUUUUUUUUAAAUUUUGAAUUUGAAUUUGAAAAUUAAAAUUAGUUUUUGUAUUGAAUCUAUUUUUUUAUUAUUUAGAAAUUAAAUCUCAACCAUUUUUUAGUUUAAAAUAGGUUGAAUCUUUUAACCUUAAUAAUUUAGAAAUUAAAAUUAGAUUUGGUAUUAGAUCUCAAUUUAUUUUUUCAAUAGCUAAGAUGUUGUGUUUUUUUCUUAUCAAAUCUUUCAAAUUUCAUUUGCAUUUUAUUAAAUAAUUAAUAUAAAUAAUUGAUUUUAAAAAAUCAACUAAAAUUUUCCUAAAAACAAGGAAGAUAACUUUUGUAUUUUUUUUGUUCUAAGCAUUUGAGAUUGCAAGUUGUAGACUUGAAAAUCAAAUAUGAAAGAUGAAAAAUGAAGAUAAUGUUUGCGUACUUCAAAUAUUUAUAUUCUUAUUCUUGAAAAUGGAUGAUAAAGUUUUUUCUUGAAAAUACACGAAGAAGUUGAAGAUGAAACUGGAACUUCAAAUGGAAGAGGAUGAAGAUUGGAGUUUCCGUUUCACGGUGAAAAGAUCAGGGUUUGCCCGCUCGAAGAAGAUGAGAUCAAAACAGAAAAAUGGAAAAUGUAGACGAAGGAAGAACUUCAAAAUGGAAGAUGAGAAACGAAAAACAAAAAUGAAAAAUGUGGAAAAUAAAGAUAAAGUGUUAUGAGUUCGAUUGGACAAGUAUGUAUUCAAAAUUUAUCAAAGUGUAUUUGUUCUAUUUGGGCUUUUCCAUAUUCUUAUUUAUUGUAUUUUUUAAAAAAAAAAAAGCAGUUUUAUUUUCAACUAUCUCUAUUUAAAAAAAAAAAAAGAACUGGGCCUCCAAAUUUAACAAAUGAUAAUAUUUGCUUAUGAGGCAAAGCAAAUGAAAUGGGCUUUAAAAUACUGGGCUCCAAGUUCUGUGUCCACAAAUGACAAAACCCAACACUUUUGUAACUAUAAUAUCUCCUCUCUGCUAUUGCCCUCAAUUGGAAAGCUUCUCUCUACCUCCACUAUACCCUUUGAACUCUCUUCACAGUGUGCCACCGCCCUAUAAGGCAGAAUGGUGCCUUUCAAUGAAAAACUCACAACCCCUGAUGAUAUAUAUUAAUAAGGAAGACCACUCUCAUACAAUAUAAUAAGGAAGUUAAUCAUCCACCCAAACAACCUCCUCACCCUAGCUACGUAGACACCACCCUAUAGGUAAGUAAGUGUAUUAGAACAUCUCUAAUCUCCACUAACUAGGUAGACACCAAUGUAGCACUAUCAUCAUUCAUGUUUCUUUAAUGAUAAAAAGAACGAAAGGUACAUGAAACAAGGAAGCAAAAACAAGGACUAGAGGGAAGCCUAAGAGAAACUCAAAGUCAGAAAAUGAUGUGAUUUAUAGACCAUUAGUUUUUUUUUUUUUACUUUAUUCAAUUUGUAUUUUAAGUUGAAUCUGAUUUCAAAUAAUUUUAUUUUAUUUUUUUACAUUGAUUUUGUUUUGGUUUUACUUUAUCUCGGUUUUGUAUAUCAGUGUUGUGAUAUACUUAUAUUAUAUGUAUUAGUUGGUUAAUAUACUUACUACGUGAUUUUUGCCUUUUCAAAUUUUAUGUAGUUCAUUGGAGUAUUAUUAAGUAUAUGAAUGAUGUAACUCAGUGUAUCAUUAUCAAGCAUAUCAACAAUAUAUUGUUAAAGCAUAUCAGUAAAGUGAAUCAUUAUCAAGUAUAUUGAAUCAAGUUUACAAGUGUAUAUCAAUAGUAUGUCAAGUGUAUAGGUAGGACUUCAAGCAUAUCAAGUGUAUUUAAUCAAUCAAAUGUAUAAAGAAUACUAAGUGUAUCUGCAUCUACAAUGCAUUGGGUGUAUCAAAUAUAUCAUGUACACCAAACAUAUCAAAUUUGUUGAAUGUACCAAUGAAGCAUAACAAGUUUAUUAGUGGUGAAUCAAACUUAUAAGAUGAACAAGUUGCCACUUGUAUGGACACGGGGAAGCGACCUAAUUGCAUAAAGAGGUGAGUUCUCUCUUUGUACUUACUUGUGUUUUACUUUUCUCUUUCUUUCACUUGCGUGUAGAUCUGUGUUUACAGAUGGUUGAAGAAGAAGCUCUUAAGAAUCAUUCUGUUCUUUCUUUUACUGUUUUUUUGGUUUUCUUCUUGCUUAUUCUUUGGAUCAUGGAGAGAUGAAGAGAAGAUGAAGAGAGAAAGGGAAGAAGAUGAACACACGAUGUUUUAAAGUGGUUCGGCAAGGCCUACGUCCACGGUGCUUUAGGAGCCAUGUAUUAUUUCUUUUCAGUUUGUUGUUGUUGUGUGUAUGAAAUAUCAAAGAGAUACAUAGUAUUUAUAGACUACCCUAUGACCCUUAGUUGAACUCUAGUUAGACAAGAAGUUAAAACUUGCAGAUUUGACUAUAUGUCUUUUACAAAGAGAUAACUGUUUUAGUAAGCGCUAUUCCCACAUAAGUGAAGUCUUUAAGUGUAUUAAACUAUCAAGGCCUAAGGUGUAUCAAGAAGGAUCAAGUGUGUAACGAGGAGUAUUAUAAUGUGUAUCAAGAUGUUUCAUGUGUGUAUCAAAAGGUAUUAGGUGCAUCAAAAAGUAUUAGACGCAUCAAGUGUAUCUGUCGCCACGUGCCCAAGACGACGCGGAGCGGCCGACAUCCUCAAAACAGCUAGUUUUAAAAUAAAAUAGGAGUCGCCACCAACCUUUUUUACGGUGUGAUUGGACACCGAAAUAAAAUAAACAGUUUUUAAAAAAUGGUAUGUGAAAAAUAUAAUUGAGUUCGGGAGUCAUUUGUGUGUGGGAAAGGUAUUAGUUUGAAUUGAAAAACGAUGGCGAAAUUUAAAAUCUUGAAUUGAAAAUAUUUUUAAAUUUAUUUUAAAACUGAUGUUUUAUUUCAUCCCUCAUUACUCCAAUAUUUGAAGCAAUGAUCUCAUAAAAUAAGUGGAAUUAUAUUCAAUUAAUUAGACUAUAUAUUGAAGAAAAGUCUCACCUUAAGAAAAUGAGAAAUUAUUACAAUUUUCCAAAAUCUAUCAUAAGCUAGUCUUUGAAUAAAGAUUUUUUUUAAAACAUGAAUUAAAUUCAUUUUUUCUUGGGAUCAAAUCUCGGACUUCCAAAGAUGUGAUCCCUCACCUUAAGAAUUCUAGGAAAUCGGACUCCCAAAUUUCCUAAAUUUCAUCGUAAGAAUAUUUUUAGCGAAAUAGAAGUGAGUUAUUAAAAAGUUGAUUAAGGAAAACAUAUGAAAUAUAGAUUUAUAUUUUAAACUUUUUUUAAAAAAAAAAUAGAAGAAAUAGUUGUAAAGUAAAAAUUUCUAAACAGUUUAAAAAGGAAAUUUAAGAAAGAUCUUCAAAAUUAAGUCAAUAGGAAAUAAUGCACAAUGUAAUCAAAGAUAAUAUAUCCUAAAUUAAGCAAGUAAGAUAAGAUUUUAUUUUAUUUUUUAAAUAUUGGGAAUCGAUCUUGGACUCCCAAAGAACCGAUUCCCUCACCUCAAGAAUUUAAAAAUAACUAACUCCCAGAAUUUCUAAUUCCAUCGUCAGAUUUUUUUUAGAAGGAUAAAAUGUAAAGAUAAAUAUGAUAUAAGAAGAAAAAAAUAAUUGAUAUAAAAUAUCAUGAAAACAUUCAAAAGUGCAAAAAAAUAUUGAUAAGUUUAAAACUACAUAACAAUAAUUGUUAUGCAUGCAAUAAAAAUAAUUUAAAAUAAAUAAAAAGAAAAUAGAAACGACAGAUAACGAAAAUGAAUAGAUAAAUAAAAAUAAAGAAGAAAUAAAUAAAUGAAAUACAUAAAUAAAUAAUGAAAAAGGAAAGAAGAAAUAAGGAAACAAAAGAAAUAAAAGGAAGAAGAAUUAGGAGAGAGAAAAACAUUUUUUCUAAAAAAAGAAGUGUGGCCGCAAGACCCAUAAUAAUAAUUAUUAUUAUUAUAACAAAUAAAUAAUUAUAUAAAUAAAUCAAUAAUAAUAAGUUUUAAAUAUAUAGAAAGCCAUAGUUAUGAUAAUAAAGUUAAAAAAAAAAGUUAAAAUAAACAGUAAUAAAGUUUAGAAAUUUUAAAAAAAAACAGUAAUAAAAAAAUGUUAAUAACAAAUAAAAUUAUAUUAAUAAUAAUAAGUAAAUGAAAUUAUAUAUAUAUAUAUAUAUAUAUAUAUAUAUAUAUAUAUAUGUUUUUAAAGAGAAUAAAGUAAAGAUUAAAAAAAAGAGUCUUUAUGUCUUUUUUUUUUUCUCUAUUUUUUAGGGAGAAGAAAAGACUAAGGUUUUUUUUUAAGAAUUAAUAACAAUGAAAGUAAAAGAAACCAAGAAUAAACAAAUAAAUAAAAAAUAAAAAUACUUACCUUUGCAUAAAUUUUUUUCUCUUCCAAUUUGCGGAGAUUCUUUAACAAAAUUUUCUCUGACAAUUUUCUCUAAAGACAUUUUGUAAGAAAUUUUUUAUCCAAAGAAUUGUUUGUUUCAAAAAAACUCUUCUCAUUUUUUUCAAAUGACAGGGUCCGUAUUUAUAAACCGAGAGUGUACCACAAAUUAGAAAAAAGUAAUAAGAAUAAAAUCAAAAUUUGAUAUUAUAUUAAUAAAACAAAUUUUCAUUUUUCUAAAAUAAAUUAAAUGAGAUAUUUUGAGAUUUUGUGAAAAAUAAAUUAAUACAUCAAAUGAAUAUUAAAAUACUUUUAUUUAAAAUUGAUUUUCUUUUUUUCUAAAAUGAUUUAAGUAAGUGAAAAUUGAUAUUAUAAGAUUUUAUUUAAAACAAAUUCUUUCUUUUUUCCUAAAAUAGUACAAAUAUGAUAUUAAAAGAUUUUUAAAAAAUAAAUUGAUUUAAUUUUGUUUCCUAAAAUGAUAAAAAUGAAAUAUUAUAAGAUAUUAUGUUAUUAUUAAUUCUUUUACUUUUUUUUAAGUAAAUAAAUAAAUAAAUAAUUUAGCAAUUAUUACUAAUAUAAAUAUUUAAAAAAAAGAUAUAUAUGUGUAGGAUAAAAUAGGUGGCUACGUUAUCAAUCAAAUGUAUCAAAAAAUAUCAUGUGUAUCAAGGAGUAUCAUACGUGUGUAAAAUGUAUCCAACAUAUAUUAAUAACGAGGGCAUUUAUGACAUUUUAUUCUUUGCUGUGUGGACUGGGCUUUGUUAUGCCAUUUUUGCAAAUAAUAAAACGUGUGUUUUAUGGACUUAAUUAUUAUAACUUAUUUUUUUGAUGGUUGCAAGUGCUCCCUACAAAAAAGCCUACAAAGUUUAUAUUAGUAAAUAAUAAAUAAGAAAUGAAUUUUAUGGUGGAAUUAAAUUGUUAGUUACUACAAAUGUGAAAGGACAAAUUGUUGCAUAAUAAAAUUUAAAGUCUAAAUUAAAUUGUGUUUUAAACUAAUUAAAUUUUAAUUUGUGUGUGGUAGAAUGAAACCAAACAUUUGUCUCUUGUAUUUUAUUCUAUUUUUUUCCAAGUAAGUUUGUCCAUUUCAUCCUUUUUAAUUAAUUUAGUAUAAAUAUUUUGUUAGAUUUUUUUAAAGUAGAGUAGAAAAAUGGAUCAAAUUAUUUACAAAAUAUAUUGAAAAUUUUAAUAAAGUAUUUUAUGGAGUGAAGCAUCUUUGUCUUUAUUGAUUUCCUCUUCUCUGAAAGAGAGUUUGCAAAAAUAGCAAAACAAAUUAUGAUAAUACAGCUCAUGUCAAUUACAUUUUUAAAAUUGCAAAAAUAACAAAUUUAAAAGCAUUACCACCAGAUUACUGUGAUAUUUGCCAAAAUUGCAAUAUGCAAAAUAAAAUGUAUUAUGAGCUACUUUUUUCUUAAAAAAAAUUUCAUCUAAUACAAUUUCCCAAAUAAAAAAUCUCAUUUUUCCACCGCUCGCUUACUAUCCAAUCACCUUCGCACUUAGUCAAGAUCUUAUUGUUUAAAUUCGUUGAAAUUUACUUAACAUUUUCGAUCGAUCGAUGACAUCCAUCUGUAUAGUGAAAUAAUUACCUUAUGAAGUAACAACACAUCAAAUAACAGCUAUCAAUUAUGAAUGAAGAUAAAAAUUUGGAUUAUGAAAUAAGUGAGAUAAUCAAUAAUAUCCUCUAGCUAUAGCUAAAGUAAUUAUUAACCGUUAGAAUAGCUAAAGAAAUAGAAAAAAAUUGUUAUCGCAAUUGGGUCAAGGAGCUCUUUUAAGUUAUAAUCAAAACUUAAAUAAAGACAGACUCCUAUGAUUUUGUGUUUGAAUCUUAUCGAAGAUAAACUCACACUCUUUCUAAAUUUAUUGACCGCGGUUCAACUAUGGCUCUUUCUGAAUUUUUUGAUUGCAGUUCAACUAUUUAAGUCUUCAAUAUAUUUCUAAAUCCACUGUUGUUCAACUAUUUAAGUCUUCAAUAUAUUUCUAAAUCCACUGCCGUUCAACUAUUUAAGUCUUCAAUAUAUUUCUUAUCUAGUACGAAGUAAAAACCACUUGUAGAUCUUCAGUGAUACAUCAUAAUAAAGAAGUUCAACUAUGGCCCUUUCUGAAUUUUAUUGACCGCAGUUCAACUAUGGCCCUUUCUGAAUUUUUUGAUUGCAGUUCAACUAUUUAAGUCUUCAAUAUAUUUCUAAAUCCACUGUUGUUCAACUAUUUAAGUCUUCAAUAUAUUUCUAAAUCCACUGCCGUUCAACUAUUUAAGUCUUCAAUAUAUUUCUUAUCUAGUACGAAGUAAAAACCACUUGUAGAUCUUCAGUGAUACAUCAUAAUAAAGAAGUUCAACUAUGGCCCUUUCUGAAUUUUAUUGACCGCAGUUCAACUAUGGCCCUUUCUGAAUUUUUUGAUUGCAGUUCAACUAUUUAAGUCUUCAAUAUAUUUCUAAAUCCACUGUUGUUCAACUAUUUAAGUCUUCAAUAUAUUUCUAAAUCCACUGCCGUUCAACUAUUUAAGUCUUCAAUAUAUUUCUUAUCUAGUACGAAGUAAAAACCACUUGUAGAUCUUCAGUGAUACAUCAUAAUAAAGAAGUUCAACUAUGGCCCUUUCUGAAUUUUAUUGACCGCAGUUCAACUAUGGCCCUUUCUAAUUUUUUUUAUUGCAGUUCAACUAUUUAAGUCUUCAAUAUAUUUCUAAAUCCACUGCCAUUCAACUAUUUAAGUCUUCAAUAUAUUUCUUAUCUAGUACGAAGUAAAAACCACUUGUAGAUCUUGAGUGAUACAUCAUAAUAAAGAAGGUAAUUAAAAUACCUUCUAGAACAAAACUUUUUCGAGUUUCUUUGAAAUCAAAUUUGCAGUCACACACCCAAAACCAAGCAUAGAGCUUAGAUAUUUAAAGGCUUCAAUAAAUCUUCGUUACAUUAAUGAAGACCAAUAUAUAAUAAUAGAACGAUGUCACUUCAUGAUGGAUAGAACCAUCGUUUUCUAAUAGUCAUUUGAUAGCCCUUUUUUGAAUGUCAUUAAUUAAUUCAUUUGUGUCCAUUUCCUCCCUUCAAUAAUUCAUAGUCUCCGAAAAGAUCACAAAAGAAUACAUCAAACAACUUCUCUCCCCACAUCUCGAUUAUAUAAGAAGCAAAGCAACCCUUCCUAAACAAACCUAAAGAGUCAGCAAAAGAAAGAAGAAAAAAAGAACAUAUAGUUAAGUUAUGGAUGAAGAAAGCCAAAUCAACGAUCCACUGCCUAAAUACUUCACUCUCAGAUCGAAGCACAAUGAUGGUUUUCUUCGUUACAUUAACGCAGACGAUAAGACCAUGCAUGGGUUUCUCAAGUUCUCUGGAAGUCAUGUCGUGAACCCAUUCGCAAAGUUUGAAUUUGAAAAAGCUAAAGAGAAAUCUAACAAAGUCCUUGUUCAUAUCAGGUGUGUGUUGCAUUUAUCGUUCUCCAAAUAUUUCUGAACUCUUGUUUUUCUAAUCUGUCGAAAUUGUUGAUGAUAUGAGUUAUUCAACGUGUAUAUAUAUUAAAAAUAAUAUGUGAGACAAUUUGGUAGGAUGAAACGUAACUCAUCGUUUUCCUUUAGUCGUUUUGAUAAAUGGUAUGUGACAUAGUCUCUAAGAUAAAUUUUAUUUUCAGAUGUUGUUACAACAACAAAUAUUUGGUUCGUUGGUCAGAGAAAUCCAAGUACAUUGUCGCAACAGGGAACGAACUCAACGAAGACAAAACAAAAUUCUCAUCGACACUGUUCGAACUGAUCUACGUCCAAGAUCGAAACGCCUUCUGUAUCAAACACGUACAACUCAACCGUUACAUUCAGCUACGACGACACAGCACAAGCCAGUUCCAAGGCACUCUGUUCGCCGGCAGCACGGGAUUGGAAAACGACGAGACAGAUCUCUUAAAUAUAAUCGAUUGGUCCACCUUUUUCAUCCUACCAAAGCAUGUAGCAUUUAAAGGCGACAAUGGAAAAUAUCUGAGAGUCCGUUCUUCAGGGACCAAAUAUUUAGAGUUUUCAGGAUCCGAUGUGGGAGAUCCAAGAGUGGGAAACCAAAUCUUCACCACAUACGAUGGACAUAUAAUGAUUAAAAAUGAUAGCUUGGAAAAAUUUUGGAUUCGUGAUCCUAAUUGGAUACUUGGGGAAGGUAGUGAAAGCGAUUUCACUGAUCGGAAUGCUUUGUUUUGGCCUGUUCAGCUUGGCGAUGGCCAUGGCGUAGCGCUUCGAAACAGAGGAAAUAAUAGGUUUUGCAAGAGGCUGAGUACAGAGGGGAAGAAUAAUUGUUUGAAUGCUGAUGCGGAAAGCAUCAAUGCUGAAGCUAUGCUCCAGAUUGAAGAACUUGUCAUUUCUAGGACCAUUUAUGAUGUCAAUUUUCGAGUUUUAGAUGCUCGGUUCUACGACGAGACGCCCAUGACUAUGGUAUCUAGUGAGGUUAGUCUACAAUUAACUUAUUAUUACUUUCGUUCAAGCACUCUUAAUUUGUGAAGUUUUGCGAUGAAAGCUGGUGUAAAGAAAAAGAAAAAAAAAAAACAAUUUUUGGAAAAGCAAAAGAACAAGUUAUUAUCAAAUGAGAUUUUAAGAGAAUCCAAAUUCGAAAACAUACGUGCAGAUGGUGAACAAAAACAGCGAACCAGAGCUGCAAAGACUGAAGCUUCAGUAUGAGGAUACGAAGUCGUCGACAUGGACAAAUUCGGUGGGAAUGAAGUUAGGGAUGAAAAUGUCAAUUGAAUCAGGAUGUCCAGAGAUAUCAAGUCAAGAAAUAGAGAUAUCAGCUGAGUUCAAAGAGGAAUAUACAUGGGGUGAAACUAAAGAAACUAAGUCUACUAGGGAAGUUGAACACCAAGUCACAGUACCACCUUACACUAGAGUUAAAGCCAAAGUGUUAGCCACUAAAGGAUUUUGUGAUAUUCCAUAUUCAUACACUCAAAGAGACGUUCUAACCAAUGGCAAAGUUGAAAUUCAACAGUUUGAUGAUGGGAUUUAUACUGGAAGCAAUUGCUAUAACUACACCUUUUCCACAGAACAAGAAGAUCUCUGAUUCAAAACAAGAAGUAUUAACUAUUGAAAUUAUAAAAUUUAUCACAUGUACUAAAUAAUGCCUAGCAGCUGCUAUGUAUGUGUAUGCAGCUCUUUGGAAUUUGCUUUUGUGUUGUUUUUUUGCUUUGCAAUGUGUGUUUGUUGAUCAUCUAUAUUUUGAAGCCAAUAAAAUGUAAUCCAUGCAUGUUCUUAUUUCAAUUACUUUGGGCUUGUUUAGGGUUGAGAAGUGUACUUGAAUUCGUCCAAUUUUAUGAAAAGUAUUGUCUUAGACCAUUAUUUGGACGAUCUAUAAAAUUUUUAAAAGGGGAAGAAAAUAAGAAGGGGCUGCUUAAUUGGUUGGCAAUUUGGAAUUUUGUUUUAUGUUUAUCUCUUCUUCUUUUUUUUAUCAUAUAUACAUGAAUAUUCUUGUUUGAAUGCUUAUUUAGAUAUACACAUUAUAUUUUAAUUGCUUGGAUUAUAGAUAUUAUCUUUUAUUUAACUUUUUUUAAUGUGAAGCAAGUUAAAGGUAAAAAAACACACAGCAACAUAAAAACAUGAUUAAGAAGCCUUAAAAGAUGAAAUAAUAGCAUUUCUUAAAGCUGUAAAAGUUAUUCCUUAAAACGCUAUAAUUUUUUUUUUUCUUUCUUUUUACUUUUAAAGACUUAUUAUAACUUUUAUUAAAUAAAUAAUUAUAUGUAGCUGCAACUAAUUAAUAAUAACAUCAUAUUUUGGCUAUAAAAUUAUUUUUAUAGCUUUCUUCAAAUAUGCUAAUCGUAUAUUACAAAGAUCAAAGGGACAUUUGUUAAAAUAACAAAUUUAAAAGUAGAUUGUCUUUUGAUAACUCUUUGAGAUAGUCGUCUGAUAUAUCUAAUUACUUGUCUUAUUUGUAAUACGAAAAAAAGGAUGUGCUAUAGACUGCUGUUUUCUAAAUUUAUUUUGUCAUUUGACGUAAUUUUCCAAGAUCAAUUGUGCUAUUUAUAAUUUUCAAAAUAAUGUUAUAAAACGUGAAGCAUUCCAUUGCUCAUUUCCAAAUGCUAUGAAAAGUUUGAACUUUUUAUAGUGUUUUAAUAAUGCUAUAAAAAAAAGCAUUAUACUUCAAUAGCGUGGGUUGUCACAACCUUGCCAAAACACAGAUCAAUUAUAGCGUUUUUGUUUUAAAUUUUAACCUGUAGUGGAGAAGGAAAUCCGGCUAGUUAAUUAGAAGACAAUUGUGACCAUGUACCAUGAAUUCUUUGUUUAGAAGAGGCCUCCUAAAACUAGGAUUCCAACAUUGUAUAGAUUCGUUCCAAGCUGCUUAUUCUUGCACAGUGAUAUAUAUUGUUUUGAUGCAUAAUAUAUAUAACCAAAGUAUCAAAUAAUUUUUUAAUCUGGGUCCAUGGAGCUUUUGCAGUUUGCUCUACUGAGUUUGCAAAGAUUUAGGAUGGAGCUUUUGCAUGUAUAAAUCAAUAAUGUCCACAACUGAUUGGGUUCACUGUGAUAGCACCAAAUCCAUUUACCAACCAAGCUAAGAGCCAUUGUUAACCUCAAGUGACAUCCUUCUUUUCAAAUUCUUGAUCUUUUAGGGAAUAUUUAUGGGUGUAAGUAAUAUUAUAGUGAACUAUAUUUGCCACAUUCACAAUUAUUUAUUUCGUAACUGGAAGAUCAUUUUGGUUCUCUCUCAUAUAUCUGCAUACUGAAUAUGUUAUCAGCUAGACUCCCAGGCUAUAUACAUUGAGCAACACAAGAUCUGACUUGUAGAUAAUACUCAUCUUUAUCAUCUCAAUAUACAUUACUUUAGCAAUAUAUAUCUUAUUAUUUUAUAUCGAGAUAUGGUUUGCUUGUAAGUUUGGAUGAUCACAUGGAACCAUUAUGUUUUGCCCAUCUUCAAUUUAUAGUAUCAUUAUUUAAUUUUACUUCUAUGUUUCCAUAAUGAGAAAUGAUAUUAUUUUUCGUACUUUGUGUGGAAAUGAUAUAACCUCGAGAUCUCUUUUUAAAUAGGAUAUUGAUUCCAUUUGAAAUUCUUGCUGUGGCUUUAAGAAUAUUAUACUAAACAAUUCCAAUUAUUUAUAAAUUACAUCUUGCAUUUAAAAAUAUCUAUAAUUACACCCUUCCACACUAAAAUAUGAUUUAUUUAAAACUAAUUUUUAUAAAUAUAACUGAUCGACAAAAUAUCUUUAACAAAAUAAUAAAGUUGAUGAAGCUUACCACUUUUUUGUAAAUAUUUUUUUUUCAGGUUUGUUAUUCAUUUUCAUCGUCUUUCUUCUCUUCUUCUUCUACAAUUUUUUUUUCAUCAUUUUUCUUUUUUUCUUCUACAAUUUUUCUUUUAUUUUUUUUUCAAACUAUUAUUUGGUUCAAGAUCAUAUACCAAAUAUAAAAUAUUUGUUUUUUAAUUAUUUUUUCAAACUGUUUAUUUAGUUGUCGAAGAUCAUGUACCAAAUAUAAAAAAAUAUUGAAAAAAAAAAACGCUGUACCAAAUAUAAACGAUUGUGUAUUAAAAAUAUUUUAAAUCUAAACUUGUAACAAAGAAUCUUUACAAAGAUUGUUUAGACAAAAAUAAAUGAUCGUGUAGCCAAAUCUAAACAAUCGUGCAACAAAAAAUCUUGAAAAAAUCAUUUAGCUAAAUAUAAAUGUAACCAAAUCUAAAUGAUAUGUAACAAAUAUAUUUAUUACGCGCAUGUAACCAAAUCUAAACGAUAGUGUAGCAAAGAGCUCUUGAAAAAAAAAUUGUUUAGAUUUAGCUACCAAAAUCUAAAUGGUCGUGUACCAAACAAUAACUAAAUCUAAACAAUUGUGUACAAAUAUAUUUAUUACGUGUAUUGUUGACGGAAGCAUUUUUUGUAUCUUCUAUUGUAGGUCUGGGCUUUUUCUGUUUUCAAAAUUGUUCUAUGUAAAUAUUUAUGGUUUUUAUGUAUCAAAAUGAAAAAAGCUAAUCAUUCUUUUAAAAUUUUCCAGAUUUGGCAUUUCUUUUUCUCAUCUUUCUUAUCUUUCUCUUCUGCGAUUUUUUUUCUCUCCAUUGUCUUUUCUUCUUGUGCCAUUUUUUUUUUCAAACUCUUAUUUGGUUUAAGAUCGUGUACCAAAUAUAAAAAAUCUAUAUAUAUAUUUUCAAAUUGUUGGUUGUUCAAGAUCAUCUACUGAUCUUGAAUAACCAAUCGUUUGAAAAAAAAAAUGAUUAAUUUUCCAGAUUUGGCAUUUCUUUUCCUCAUCUUUCUUAUCUUUCUCUUCUGCGAUUUUUUUUCUCUCCAUCGUCUUUUCUUCUUGUGCCAUUUUUUUUUCAAACUCUUAUUUGGUUUAAGAUCGUGUACCAAAUAUAAAAAAUCUAUAUAUAUAUUUUCAAAUUGUUGGUUGUUCAAGAUCAUCUACUGAUCUUGAAUAACCAAUCGUUUGAAAAAAAAAUGGCUAACCAACAGAUUUGUCUCUUGCUUGGGGCUUGUCUCUAGCCCUUUGUAUUUUGUUUGGGUUGUUUCCUUGGUUCUCAUGUAUUACUUUCCAUAUAUUAAUGAAGCAGGGAUGAUGAAGGUGCUUAAAGGAGUGUCCACCUAGUGGAGAUGUCCGGGUGCACCUACUGACUCAUCGUAUCAUUUUUCAAAAAAACAAAAAAGAUCGUCUACGGAUCUUUAAAAAAAAUGCGGUCAAAUCUAAAUGAUCGUAUAAAAAAAAUCAAAUUUAAAUAAUUGUAUAAAAAAAAUCAAAUCUAAAUGAUCAUGUACAAAUAAUCCUAAAAAAACCGUUUAGAUUUGGGUAGUUAAAGGUAAAUGAUAAAAUCUAAACGAUCGUAUACCGAAAAAAUAUUUUAAAAAAUCGUUUAGAAAUAGUCAAUUCUAAACUAUCAUAUACCAAACAAUUUCGAAGAAAAUUCAUUUAGAUGGAUCAAAUCUAAACAAUCAUGUAGGAAAAGAAAUAGCCAAAAUCUAAAUGAUCAUGUCCAAAUAUAUUACGCUGACGUCAACUAAUCACAAGUCAUUUUUUAUAUUUUCUAUGUGAGUUUUUUUCAAUUUUGAAAUUGUUCUAUAAUGUAAAUAUUUCAGCGUUUUGUUCUUUAAAAAAAAAUAUAUAUUUUCAAAUACCCCUUUGUUUUACAUACAUCCUAAAGACUAAAUUAUUGAAAUUCAAACAAGUCAAAUAUUUUGGGCAGAAAUGAACAAAAAAAAAUCUUUUCAAAUUCUUGAUUUUUUAGGGAACAUUAGUAUAUUUAUGGGUGUAAGUAAUAUUAUAGUGAACUAUAUUUGUCACAUUCACAAUUAUUUAUUUCUUAAUAGGAUAUUGAUUCAAUUAGAAAUUCUUGUUGUGGCUUUCACAAUAUCAUACUAACAUGUAAAAUCAUGUGGAAUCUUAAACUAAACAAUUCCAAUUAUUUAUAAAUUAAACAAGUACUUACAUCUUCCAUUUAAAAAUAUCUAUAACUACAUCUAUGACACACCCUGCACUACAAAAUAUAAUUAAUUUGACGUUAAUUUUUAUAAAUAUAACAAAUCGAUAAAAUAUUUAUAUCUGUAUAAUAAAAUGAAAAAGCACAUAAAACUGACUAUAUUUUUUUUUUAAUAUUUCAAGGUUGUUCUUCCUUUUCAUAUCUUUUUUUGUUCAAUUUUUUUCUUUCAAAUGGUCAUUUGGUUCAAGAUCGUGUACUAGUUUUAUAUUUUUUUUAAACUGUCAUGUAGUUGUUGUACCAAAUAUAGAUAUUGGAAGAAAAAGGAGAUACGCUUGCAAAAGUAGCAAAAAAUUUAUGAUAAUAGGACACAUAUCACUAUAUUUUAUAAAUUAUAAAAGUAGAAAAUUUAAAAGCCGACAACUCACUUUUAAUAGUUCUGAUAGCUGUCUGAUAUCACUAAUUUUGUCAUAUUAACAAUAUGAAGAAAAAAAAAAGUGUCCUAGACUGUUUUUUUCUAAAUGUGUUUGUCAUCUGAUAUAAUUUUCCAAAAUGAAUGUUGUACAAAUCUAAAUGAGAACCAAAACUAUUUUUUUCCAAAUCUAAACUAUUGCGUAAGAUAAAAUAUUCUUUUUUAAAAAAUUGUUUUUAUUUGGAUAACGUACAAAAAAAAAUGAUCGUGUAACCAAAUCUAAACGUACCGAAUAAUCCUAAAAAAGAUCAUUUAGCCAAACAAUCUAAAAAAAUUGUUUAGCCAAGUCUAAAUGAUCUUCUAAACAAUGAAUCCAGAAAGAAAAAAAAUCUUUUAGAUAAAUGCUUUUUUACCACUAGGUCAAACCCACGAUGGUUCAUACCAUAUAUUUAAUAUAAAGGAAUAUCUCUAAUGUGUCACAGGCCAAAAAUUGAUGAUGAAAAAAAAAAACCUUCUAGAGAUAACUGCUUGUGAAUAUAACACGAUCAAUCUAAACUUCAUUUGGGUAAUGGCAAGGACCACUUCUGUGAAAUGUAGUGAAAGUUGUAAUUACACUCUUAAUGAGUCGAUAUUAAUUAUACAAAUUGAAUCCACAAAUCAUAAAAUUUGAACAUAAAAUUAUUACAAUAUGGAAGUAUGAAUAUCCAAUUUGAACACUAAUUAACCUACACGUUUGAAUUAAUUUUUGCAAUUUUAACACUAACCAUGUAUAAGUGCAACUAUCACCUUACAAUUAUAACACAAAUUUUAUCAUCGUUAUUUUUGGCCUUCUUGCUUUCUCUUAUAUUCCUUACUUUAUGCUUCUACACCCUUAACAAAUUAUAAAUUUAUGGGUCUAAGAAGUAGGGUUUAUUUAUUAGUUCUAUUGGAUUCAAAAGUUCGAGUUUGAGGCUUUGGUUUCAUUUCACUAUUAAUUACCUCUUUCUCUUUAUUAGUUCAAAUUUAUGGGUAUUUCAAUUUUAGGGUGACAGGCCAUUUUAAAUACAUCCAACUUUUUUUAAAAAAUAAUAUUAACUACUUCCUAAAUCAUUCAAGUUUUUUUUUUCAUUUUGCUAUAUCUAAAAUAGCCUUAGUUAGAGAAAUAGGUAAAAAGAAAAACAAGAAAUCAGUUUAAAAAAAUGUUCUUAAAAGAAGAAUAUAAUAAAAAAAAUUAGAGAGGAAGUUUGGAGAGAGUGAACAAAAUAGAGAGAGAGAAAUGGACAAAAGUUUUUAAAACUAAAAAUAAAAAACACCAAAAAAAUGGGGAAAAAUUAAUAAAGUGAAAUAAAUAGGAGAGAUUUUUUUUUUUCUUUUAAUAUGAGAAUAGUUUUCUUAUAAAGAAAAAAAAUCACCAACAAUCCCAUAUAAAAAAUCUCAUAGAAUAACCCCUCAAAGUGAUUGGUAAUUAAGGAAACAUCACAACUUUAGUAUUAAAAGUGAUUGUAAAGGAUAAAAUUGUAAAAAUAUUUAUAAAUAUAAUAAAAUUUUACUAUUUAUUUAUGAUGGCUAUAUCGAACCAAAUAAAUUGCGUCUCUAUCAUAUUUUAGUGAUAGAUAUUGAUUUAAAUCUAUUUCCUAAUAUACAAAUAAUGGGUAUAAAAUUGGAAUGAUAUAAAAAAUAUAAUAAUCAAAUUACAUAUAUUUUGCCUAAAUUUAGAAAAAGAUUGUUUGAUUUUUAAAGUAUAUCCUCAUAUAUGUCAUCUUAAUACCAAAUUUAGCAAACAGAAAUAGAGUAAAGAUAAACUCAAGAAACCAAUGUGUAAUUUCUUAACACACACAAAGUUAAGGUUAGGCAACAAAGAAACACUCAUCCACACAUACCUUUUAUUAUAAUCUUUUGAGUCCCCUUAGAUUUGCCUUCACAUAAUCUAACUCCUCCCAUUCAAACAUUACCUCCCAUACAACACAAAGUGAAACUAAAUCAACACAUCAAAUUAAAUCACUCUCUC
rnacentral:lncRNA from 1 species